rnacentral:rRNA from 1 species
UACGUAGGUGGCGAGCGUUGUCCGGAAUUACUGGGUGUAAAGGGCGUGUAGGCGGGGAAGCAAGUCAGAUGUGAAAUCCCGGGGCUCAACUCCGGAGUUGCAUCUGAAACUGUUUUUCUUGAGUGCUGGAGAGGAAAGCGGAAUUCCUAGUGUAGCGGUGAAAUGCGUAGAUAUUAGGAGGAACACCAGUGGCGAAGGCGGCUCUCUGGACAGAUACUGACGCUGAGGCUCGAAAGCAUGGGUAGCAAACAGGAUUAGAUA